rnacentral:misc_RNA from 1 species
UCAAAGCGGAGAGGUA